GAUUCAGGACAAACCAGAGGUUACCUGGAAACCAAGGGAAACAAAUCAAUAUGGGGCCGUUCCUGAAGUUCACGGGCCCCAGAACAACAACAAAACCAAAUCAUGUAUAACGUUCCCCACCAUCCCCCACCCCCCCACCCCCGAAACGAAGUCCUACUAAUUUCAUGGGCUUCCCUAACAAGGUAACAAUAUACCCACAAUACUUAAAACUUAGCUGGGCAUGUUGGGGGCCCAUGCCUUUUUAAAUCCCAGCAUUUGGGAGGCCGAGGCAGAGGCAGAAGCAGGAGGGUCUAUCUCUGAGGCCAGACUGGACUACAUAGAGAAACCCUGUCUCAAAAAACAAACCAAACAAAUAAUAAUAAUAGAAAAAACUCCACAAAACCCAAAACAAUAACAACAACAAAAAACCCCAACAGACAAGCACCCCUCCCCACAUGAAUCUAUAACUAAGUAUUUUCUUGGGUGGAUGGGGUAGAAAAUUACCCGGAUGGAUAUAAUUUUUAUAAAAUUGUCUCAUCUGGGGACAGGAUAUUGCUUUCCACAGCUGCAUGCCACCACUUGGUGGAAAAUAAAAAUGUCCCUGGACCAGCCUGACUCUUUUACAGAAUGGAGCAGCCGGGUGUCAUGCAGUCAGACUUCGAAAACACAACAUACAAAAAGUUACUAAGGCUAACUUAAAAACCAAAACUUCUUUAGUUGAAAUAUACUUCACCUGACAGUUCGGUGUCAGGGAGAUUUACAGCCUCUGAAAUGAGGAGGUUUCCCCCCCUCCCCCUCUUCUGUAUUUAAGAAGUAAAACCCAUUUCUGCAAGACUUUGACUGGAAAGCAAAACCCAACCCUUUGAGGGCUGGGGCAGGGGGUGGGAUGGGGGUACAGCUCAAGGGCAGAAUGCUUGCCUUCCAUGCACAAGGAUUUGGCUUCAAUCCCCAGCUCCAAAAACCAAAAGAAUAAAAAAGUUGACAGGUCCUAUUAAAGUCCCUCUCACCCAACCAGAACAGGGAGGAACUCAGAAAUCACAGUGUGAUCUCUUUUCUCAAUGCCACAAGGGUUUACCCAGAACACACAAGACGGCACCAGCACUGCAAAGCCACCAGAACCCUGAGAUCGGAGCCUCCACUCCUGUCUGUCCCAAGCCAGAAAUAAGAAAACACCCAGGCAAAUCCAUCUACCUCUGUGCGUGCUACCAAAGAAAACAUGUUUCUUGUAAACCCAAGGUAUUUUUAGGUCCCAAACUGUGUGACCCAUUUCAGAGGCCACAGCUCCUUAUAAAAACUGAACUGAACCCAAAACUAGGCGGAACCACCCCAGAACACACAGGCCUAUGUGUUAAGAUGAAAGGUUCAUGCCCAAAACACCACCCAAAGAAGGGCAGGCAGGAGCCAGGAAAGGCUCACUUAGGAAAGAGAGCACUGACCGGCCACCCCAGAUCCACUCCUCUACGGCUGCUUAUCAAAGCCUGUCCAAAUUUGGGAAGUAACCAGUAACCAGCAACCAGCAGCGGGCAGCAAAGGCGUCUUGGGAGCAAUAGCAAGGUCUGGAAUGUUGCCACCGGCAAUCUGAAAACAGGGGCAGUGUCUGUGAAGAGUGUGUGUGUGUGGUGUGUAAGAGAGUGUGAGUGUGCUCACAUGAACCCAGUUCUCACCACCACCCAGAGAUUGGGAUUCCAGAUCUUGGUUACUGGUAACUAUGGCUGGGGGUGGGGGAGAAACCAAAGCUCUAGGCAGGGGCCAGUUCCUAUUUUCCAUAGCUGGGCAGACACUUGGCCUCGGCUCACCCUCUCCCCAACCUGCCAGCCAGCUCCAGUACAAGCAGGGCAGUGUCGCUCCAGCACAGGCGGCUCUGUGGGAAGCCAUUUUAUGCCACAGUUCAACCCAACAUCCAAGUCAAACAACUUCUGCAAGGAGCAAUCUGGGUGGGGAGGGGCUCCUGUUCCAGCCACCUACCCCUCCACAACCUGCCCCGACUCGAACCCGGAUGCCUUGGAACACUCUAGAGUCUCUUCAGCUUCAUUUCUCAGGAGUAGGUGUACCUUCCUCCCUGAGUCAGAUGUGUACAAAAUGGAGGCAGUGGUUCUGCUUUGAAGAGUGAGGCCAGCUCUCCUACGUCGGCUCGUAUGGCAGGGAGAUGUGGAAAAGCCGUAAGGCUACACGGCACACACAGCCACAUAGUCCGGCCACACUGAGUAGGAGGAGUGUGGCCUAAUCUGUGGUUUAAGCAUCCAUACUUACCUGGGAAUUGCUCCCACCCUCUCCAAAGACCUCAAAUCACUUUCUACUAGUGAAGCAAUAGAGCUACAGGGAGAUGCAGCUAACCUGCCCAGGGGCUGAAGAUGCUGAAUCCAGGGCUGUACACUGACCAUUACAAUCUAUGACCAUAAAAGGCCAAGGCGGGGCUGGAGAGAUGGCUCAGUGGUUAAGAGCACCACCAACUGCUCUUCCAAAGGUCCUGAGUUCAAAUCCCAGCAACCACAUGGUGGCUCACAACCAUCCUUAAGGAGAUCUGACGCCCUCUUCUGGAGUGUCUGAAGACAGCUACAGUGUACUUACAUAUAAUAAAUAAAUAUUAAAAAAAAAAAAGGCCAAGGCAAUGGAGCACUUACCAAAGAACCAGAAGAAAAGGAGACCCCCCCCCCCCCCCCCGCCAAGAGUGAGGGAAGGUAAAAGGAACAGGGAAGAUCCAAGAAACAGGUUUAUACUCGCAGGUAAAAGCCAGGGAACAAGUCUCACUAUCCACCGUGAUUUCCAGACUCCUACACCUCUGUUACGUGGCUUGCCGGGAAGUCUUAUUAACCAGAGGAGAGGUGGGGCAAUGGUGUGUGGUGGCCGGGGCUCGUUCUAUAGGCUGAUCUUGAAUGGACCUUUGAGACCUUUUGCGUCAAGUCAUGGGUUUUGUGAUGAGGAAACUUCGGUGCGGAUCAGGAAAGUGAGCUGCCUGUGGUUCCCAAGUAAUCCGCCCUCCGCCAGGCUCUGAAGCCUGGGUCAGCUCUCUGCCUACAUUUCCAAGCUGCUUCCGUGAAGGUGAUGUCAUCUCUGGAGGUGGAGGAGAUCCCUCUGUUACUUCCAUCCUUCCGGAUGGGGAAGGAGCAGAAACAGAGGGUCAGAGUGCAUGGAAGCAGGAUCUGGCUGGCUCUCUCAAUCUGGGCUUUCCUUUGCCGAGGCUAAAAACCAUAAAAGACUUCGCUAUGUGGGAUCUGGGGGAAUGGGUGUGCGGGAUGGGGAAAGGCCAGACAGAGGCAACAGGAUCAAGGCCAGUUGGCUGUAUAACAAAGCCUUCAACAAACAAACAAACAAACAACGAAUGGGAGAGGCACAUUCCAGGCCCGGCUCAAGGCUGGCCACCACAUUAUAGCCUGAAACACUUCUAAUCACCUGCCAUUCAGACAUUAGGAAGAUGUUUUCUUUCUCAAUUCUUUUCUUUCUCUUUUGGAGGGAGUGGAGGGAUAGACAUGGAGAUCUGAGAGAAAUUUGGGAACCACCAAAAUAGGCUUGUGAGGUCUGGCUCUGAGGUUGUCGGAAAACAGACCGAUUGCUGGCUUGGUUGUGGGCAGGAGACACCCAACUUCAGAAAGGCAGGCUGGGCAGGCUCAGCUGUCACAGAGCAUGUCCCACAGGGGACAUGCUCGGGCCUAGGAGAAAGACAGAUUCCCCUUUGCCGGUCCUCCCUCUCUUCCACUGUCCCAGGGCGACUACGAGAGGCUGGCUUCUCUUUGGAUUCCUGCCAUCCAGCCGCUCAGUAUCCUCUACAGACAAAGGUGGCCUCUGCUUUCCAAAGCCCACACCAGGCACCAAAUGUCAAGUUCAUAAAUCACUGGUCUCAAGAGAUUGAAGAGGUGACAUCAUAAUGAUCCCAAGGGUUCCCCCGAGAGAGAUCACCGCCUGUAGUAAAAGAUAUUUUGAGGAGUUUCCUCUCAGCCUUCCUUUGCUCCUGCCCAAUACUAACUACCUCACUUGAUAAUACCCUAUCACUUGACCCUGCCUUUAGCACUUAACCUAUCAUGGGCAAGAUUUCUGGUCAAAAUGGGAAUAAUGUUUCUUUCUCUGGUUAUAUCAUGGAGCUUGGGGAGGCCUUUGGAGACUGUAAAAUACUUAGCACAGAGAUUGUAACAGGACUGUCCCUAUUAGAGCCCAGGGUAGGGCAGGUAACAAUAAUUAACAUAGUAAACCGCCCACCUCCCUAAUGGUAAGAGACAGGAGAGUAAAGAGAGCAAACAAGGGGCCCAGAGGUUACAGUACUAACUCGGCUUGCGAUCUUGGGCACCCUGGUUCCUCACGGUGGACACGAGAGCUAGCACCUCCAGCUGGUGCAUAAUCUCCAAUGCAGUUCCCAACCCCAAAGUCAAACCCUUCUAGAGUGAGACUGUCCUGCUUCAGGAGGCAGAGUCAGCCAGCAGCAACUUGUCAGGGUUCUGGAUAGGAGCGGAAGUGGCAGCAGGAGACAAGAUGGGCAGACUGUAGGCCAGCAGGCAACAGAAUGAGAAGACAUAGGGUGGCCAUGGGCACCUCCUCUCAGCCCCUUACAUACAUAUGCCAUGGGGGGCAGAUGGGAGAUGUAGGCAACUAUGUGGUUUCCCCUUAGCACCAAACUUUCACACCAUCUAUGCAGGCGUCUGGGGACUGACCGACAGACUAGCAGGGAAGAGACUAAAAGGUAGAGGGAGGAAAACUCCCCAAAGGACAGGGCGGGGUUGGGUGGGGCCAGCUGCCUUCAGACUUUGUUUUGUAACAAAGCGCUCAAGCUGAUGAGUGGACCAAGCCAAGCCUGGGAGCUGGCUGCCUGUCUGCAGAACUGGGGAAACACAAGCAGGGAAUGUCCUCUGACAUCCUCUUAAGUUGUAUGGGUGUGGUGGCUCCUAGAAACCCAGGGCAGUCUCUGCAGGUUGUGCAACACUUCCAAGCAACCCUGGAGAGUAUUAAACCUUACAGUUGCUGGAAGAUGGGUGAAGAGGCCCUUCUCAAUAUCCUUUACAGUUUUCUCUUCCUCACCCCUGCAGGAAGUUUCCUUAGCAUUCUUCAUUGCAAAAGCAAACCGUACUUAUUACAGAAACAUCAGAAAAUAUCAGAAAGCAAAAAGAAUAGGCCUUGGGUUUCAUUCCCAGCACACCUGUAACUCCAGUUCCAGAGGAUCUGACACCAUCUCCUGGCCUCUGUGGGCACCAGACAUGCAGGUGGUGCCCAGGCAUUCAAGCUAACAAAACAGCCAUACCAACAUAAUACAAAUUCAGAUUAAAAAAAAAUCUAAAAGACCAUUUGCCUGGAUUAAUUUCCAUCCCUUGCUGGCUUUCUGUAAAUAUCUCUGGCAUAAGUUCAUGGAGACAAACCUCACUCAAGGGUUGGUCCUCAGGGGUCUGCUUUGCUCUUGGCUUUCGAGUUCCCACCAUUUCCUUUGUCUAGUUACCUCUUUGUCAAUUGAAGUCAUCAUGUUUGUUCAGCAGUCAUCCAAACAUGUCCUUUCUUAACCCCCAGAACUCGUGGGUGUGCCACUCCUCUGUGCUUGGAGUGAGGGGCUGUAGAUAGAGUUAAAGGAGCUUGAAAUGGAGAUAUUUUUGGUGGGACUUUGUAAUCAAAGAGAUUUGUGUUGUUUGCUUUCAUUUUUUUUCCUCUUUUGACAGAUCUCAUUAAGGAGCCCAGAGUCUUUGAUUCUAGAUCCUCUUGCCUUAUCCUUUUGAGAAUUGGAUUUCCUUCCUUCCUUCCUUCCUUCCGCAUCAGCUCCUACUUCCUAACCUGCUUGAGUUCCAGUCCUGA